AUGGAUAUGCAAAUGAGUCUUGCUCUUGGAAGUGCAAGUGCGUUCUGUGGAGCUGUGUGGACACACCUGUUCCCAGCUUCCUCCCAGCACCGCCAGCGCCCGUCUGCAGCCCCUUCCCGCUCACUCUCUGCACUGCACUUGCUCCCCCAUUGUCUGAGCCAAAUGCAACCUCUGGCACAUUUUCAGUUUGUGUUAGAAGAUGAACAGUUUUUCCACUUUCUAAAAACUUACCCUCUCAUCACUGUGGCUUCCUUCCGGGCUCGCCUGGCCUUCGUUUGGUCUUCCCUCUUCAUUACAAAUGCUGCCCCAGAGCCAACGCACUCCCGACCGAUGCGGCACGAGCGACCUUCCUACGCGUGCCGAUGCCUGAACGUUGCUGCCACGUGUCCCCUUCAUUGGUUCCUGGUGCUGUUCGUGUUCCUGUAGAAAACCUCAGGUAACUCCAGAGACAGCACGAGCCUUCAUGAUUGUGGUUGAGAGAGUCCUGUGGCUGGUUCCGGCCCAGGAUUGUGUUCUCACCGGCCCGGGUGAACGGGGUGUGCCGUGGUGUGUGUGUGUGUGUGUGUGCACGCGCGUGCGUGUGCACAGUGGUGCUGAGGAAGGACAGGCAGGAACCGGACGUGCGGGAGAGCCAAGCCCAGGCGUGGUCUCAGCCCCCCUUCGGGGGCUUCCUGCAGCCGAGCCCCUGGAGGCCUGGGAGUGGUUGGCGGGGGCUGUCCAGGUGCCUCCUGGGUGAUAGUGAAUGCAGCUAUCUCGAGUUCCCAAGGGAAGUCCCCUGAAGGCCGCCUGUGGGUCCGGCUGAGAAUCACGUCCUGCAGUGAGGCAGUGCACAGAAGGUCAGCCAGGAGCCAGUGGGGACGGGGGCGCCAGUGCCACCCUGCACACCCUGCCUCUGAAAAAUGGGGGUGGUUUGGCCUCGUGGUUACAGCACUGUGUCCCAUAUUUGGUGCCCGGGAUCAGUAUCCAGCUCCAGCUCCCGGCUAACGCCGACCCUAGGGAGCAGCCAUGAUGGCACUGGUGUUUGGGUUCCUGCCGCCUACGUGGGGGACCUGCACUGGGGCCCGGGCUCUGGACUUCAGCCUCCCGUCCAUCACAGGCAUCUGGGGAAUGGACCAGCAGACAGGAGCUUGUCUGUCUUUCUCCCUCUCCGUCAGAUAAGCAAACUCAUAAGUCACCUUGAACAGUUCACGCCGGAGAAACGGCUUCUCCCGCCCCUCUUGCUCUCAUUGCCUGAGAAUCCCUGAUUCGCUGUGACCGGAGAGCAAGUCACAGAGCCUCUCUGAAAGGCAGAGCCAAGGGCCGCCUCUACCCUGGGCGUCAGCGCGUGCCUGGGGGAGUGCACGUUGUUUCUAAGAGCAUUCUUCUCCACGUGAUUGUCCCGCAGCCAGCAAAGUGCGUCGAGAAUCCUCAUCCUGGAGUGUGGCUU
rnacentral:lncRNA from 1 species